GAUGAACGCUGGCGGCGUGCCUAAUACAUGCAAGUCGAGCGAACAGAUGAGGAGCUUGCUCCUCUGACGUUAGCGGCGGACGGGUGAGUAACACGUGGAUAACCUACCUAUAAGACUGGGAUAACUUCGGGAAACCGGAGCUAAUACCGGAUCAUAUAUUGAACCGCAUGGUUCAAUAGUGAAAGACGGUUUUGCUGUCACUUAUAGAUGGAUCCGCGCCGCAUUAGCUAGUUGGUAAGGUAACGGCUUACCAAGGCAACGAUGCGUAGCCGACCUGAGAGGGUGAUCGGCCACACUGGAACUGAGACACGGUCCAGACUCCUACGGGAGGCAGCAGUGGGGAAUCUUCCGCAAUGGGCGAAAGCCUGACGGAGCAACGCCGCGUGAGUGAUGAAGGUCUUCGGAUCGUAAAGCUCUUUUAUUAGGGAAGAACAAAUGUGUAAGUAACUAUGCACGUCUUGACGGUACCUAAUCAGAAAGCCACGGCUAACUACGUG
rnacentral:rRNA from 1 species